GGCAUCUAGAACCCAGACUCUAACAGGCCGUGCAAGGGGCUUUGGAACCUGCUCAACCAUGCUCAAUGCAACUUUUCCUCCAAAGCUGUGACCAACUACAACUCGGGGAGUCAGUCUGAGCUGGCCAAGCAGCUUUAGGACAUCAAGAGCAGCUGACGCGACUGUAUGUGUGCCUCUCUUCUUGAGGGAUGCUGAAUCACCAUGGCACCGCAAGUCCACCAGGAGAAACUGCCAUUUCGGAAAUUCUUGGGCCAAUCUCCUAGCAAAGCUUCCCCAGUUUUUCCUGCUGCCAAGAAUACCAUGCAAGAGAACAGCAGUCGGUGGUUCAGGCAACGAUCCCUCCAUAAUAUAACUCCAUUUUACUUUUGCUCCUUGAACGAGCUCAUAUGCCAGCACUUCAG
rnacentral:misc_RNA from 1 species